rnacentral:lncRNA from 1 species
CUUUCUUUAGCUUGCCCAUGGUGAUGUGAAGAUGAGAAGAAAUAGCAAGGCCCAACCAGUUCUUCAUCUGGAGACAGUUCAACGUUCUGCAAACCAGAUCUUCAGGAAUUUUACUGGGAUAAUUAUCCAAAUAAAUUGCAAGCAUUCUAUCCAAAUGGAGCUCUUUCUGAGAUGAAGAGAAUUCUCAAUGUCAAGAUUUGAACAAGAAGAGAAUGGAAUACACAAUAUGGACAUCCAUAAAAAUUCAUCAGAGAGCAUUUUACUACUGAGCUGCAAAGGGAAAAACUUAAAAUGGAUAUGAAAAGUGAAGAAAGUGAUCAUAGGAGAAAACCAUUUCAGGUGUCUGAUGAUUUGUGAGCCUCAAGUGACUACUCUGUGGAAUCAUCUGUCCUUGCCUUUGAAUUCGCUUUCCCUAGGCCAUGGGUCAACAUUAGUAGUUUAUACAUCCAAAUUGAUGACAAGAGCACCUCAAAGGCAGCAGCCUCAAGGAGCAGCCAUGGCCCCAGACUUGUCGCACGGAUGCAGAAAACUUAAUGGAGGAGGCUGAGGUCAGAAUGGGAAGAGUUUUUAAAAAAUAAA